UAACACAUGCAAGUAGAACGGUAGAGAGAAGCUUGCUUCUCUUGAGAGCGGCGGACGGGUGAGUAAUGCCUAGGAAUCUGCCUGGUAGUGGGGGAUAACGUUCGGAAACGGACGCUAAUACCGCAUACGUCCUACGGGAGAAAGCAGGGGACCUUCGGGCCUUGCGCUAUCAGAUGAGCCUAGGUCGGAUUAGCUAGUUGGUGGGGUAAUGGCUCACCAAGGCGACGAUCCGUAACUGGUCUGAGAGGAUGAUCAGUCACACUGGAACUGAGACACGGUCCAGACUCCUACGGGAGGCAGCAGUGGGGAAUAUUGGACAAUGGGCGAAAGCCUGAUCCAGCCAUGCCGCGUGUGUGAAGAAGGUCUUCGGAUUGUAAAGCACUUUAAGUUGGGAGGAAGGGCAGUAAAUUAGUACUUUGCUGUUUUGACGUUACCGACAGAAUAAGCACCGGCUAACUCUGUGCCAGCAGCCGCGGUAAUACAGAGGGUGCAAGCGUUAAUCGGAAUUACUGGGCGUAAAGCGCGCGUAGGUGGUUCGUUAAGUUGGAUGUGAAAUCCCCGGGCUCAACCUGGGAACUGCAUUCAAAACUGACGAGCUAGAGUAUGGUAGAGGGUGGUGGAAUUUCCUGUGUAGCGGUGAAAUGCGUAGAUAUAGGAAGGAACACCAGUGGCGAAAGCGACCACCUGGACUGAUACUGACACUGAGGUGCGAAAGCGUGGGGAGCAAACAGGAUUAGAUACCCUGGUAGUCCACGCCGUAAACGAUGUCAACUAGCCGUUGGGAGCCUUGAGCUCUUAGUGGCGCAGCUAACGCAUUAAGUUUGACCGCCUGGGAGUACGGCGCAGCUAAAACUCAAAUGGACUGACCGGGGCCGGCACAAGCGUGCAGCAUGUGUAAUCGAGCACGCGAAGAACCUUACAGGCCUUG
rnacentral:rRNA from 1 species